rnacentral:rRNA from 1 species
CACGUAGGGGGCGAGCGUUGUCCGGAUUUAUUGGGCGUAAAGAGCUCGUAGGCGGCUCAGUAAGUCGGGUGUGAAAUUUCAGGGCUCAACCCUGAAACGCCACCCGAUACUGCUGUGGCUAGAGUCCGGUAGGGGAGCGUGGAAUUCCUGGUGUAGCGGUGAAAUGCGCAGAUAUCAGGAGGAGCACCAGCGGCGAAGGCGGCGCUCUGGGCCGGAACUGACGCUGAGGAGCGAAAGCAUGGGUAGCGAACAGG